GACGAACGCUGGCGGCGUGCUUAAUACAUGCAAGUCGAACGGAAAGGCGCGGCGCUUGCUGGGUGGUCGAGAGGCGAACGGGGGAGUAAAACGUGAGGAACCUGCACCUGACUGUGGGGGAAAUCUAGGGAACAGGGGCGAAAACAGGAGAGGAGCUCUUGCAGCACAGGGGGGGUUGGUAAGAGUCGGCGGUUGGGGAUGGACUCGCGGCUUAUGAGCUGGCUGGUGAGGUAGUGGUGGACCAAGGCUUUGACGGGUAGGCGGCCUGGGAGGGUGACCGGCCCCAUUGGGCCUGCGAUACGGCCCAGACUGCUACCGGCGGCAGCAGUGGGGAACAUUGCACAGUGGCCGGAAGCCUGUUGCAGCAACCCCGCGUGCGUGAUGACGGCCUUCGGGUUGUAAACCGCUUUCGCCUGAGCCGAACCGUGCGUGACGGUAAUGGGUCAAGAAGCCCCGGCUAACUACGUG
rnacentral:rRNA from 1 species